rnacentral:rRNA from 1 species
GGCCUGUGAGGGUUGCUGGAGGUAUCAGAAGUGCGAAUGCUGACAUAAGUAACGAUAAAGCGGGUGAAAAGCCCGCUCGCCGGAAGACCAAGGGUUCCUGUCCAACGUUAAUCGGGGCAGGGUGAGUCGACCCCUAAGGCGAGGCCGAAAGGCGUAGUCGAUGGGAAACGGGUUAAUAUUCCCGUACUUGGUGUUACUGCGAAGGGGGGACGGAGAAGGCUAUGUUGGCCGGGCGACGGUUGUCCCGGUUUAAGCGUGUAGGUGUGUGUUCCAGGUAAAUCCGGUUCACUUUAACACUGAGGCGUGACGACGAGGCACUACGGUGCUGAAGCAACAAAUGCCCUGCUUCCAGGAAAAGCCUCUAAGCAUCAGGUAACAUCAAAUCGUACCCCAAACCGACACAGGUGGUCAGGUAGAGAAUACCAAGGCGCUUGAGAGAACUCGGGUGAAGGAACUAGGCAAAAUGGUGCCGUAACUUCGGGAGAAGGCACGCUGACACGUAGGUGAAGUGAUUUACUCAUGGAGCUGAAGUCAGUCGAAGAUACCAGCUGGCUGCAACUGUUUAUUAAAAACACAGCACUGUGCAAACACGAAAGUGGACGUAUACGGUGUGACGCCUGCCCGGUGCCGGAAGGUUAAUUGAUGGGGUCAGCGCAAGCGAAGCUCCUGAUCGAAGCCCCGGUAAACGGCGGCCGUAACUAUAACGGUCCUAAGGUAGCGAAAUUCCUUGUCGGGUAAGUUCCGACCUGCACGAAUGGCGUAAUGAUGGCCAGGCUGUCUCCACCCGAGACUCAGUGAAAUUGAACUCGCUGUGAAGAUGCAGUGUACCCGCGGCAAGACGGAAAGACCCCGUGAACCUUUACUAUAGCUUGACACUGAACAUUGAGCCUUGAUGUGUAGGAUAGGUGGGAGGCUUUGAAGUGUGGACGCCAGUCUGCAUGGAGCCGACCUUGAAAUACCACCCUUUAAUGUUU